UACGGAGGGUGCGAGCGUUAAUCGGAAUUACUGGGCGUAAAGCGUGCGCAGGCGGUUGUGCAAGACGGAUGUGAAAUCCCCGGGCUUAACCUGGGAAUUGCAUUCGUGACUGCACGGCUAGAGUGUGUCAGAGGGGGGUAGAAUUCCACGUGUAGCAGUGAAAUGCGUAGAUAUGUGGAGGAAUACCGAUGGCGAAGGCAGCCCCCUGGGAUAACACUGACGCUCAUGCACGAAAGCGUGGGGAGCAAACAGG
rnacentral:rRNA from 1 species